rnacentral:rRNA from 1 species
CUGCUCAAUGAAUAAAUUUUAAAUAGCUGCAGUAUAAAUAACUGUACAAAGGUAGCAUAAUAAUUUGUUUUUUAAUUGAAAACUAGAAUGAAUGAUUUAAUGAAAUAUAAACUGUGUCAAAUUUAAAAAAUAAAUUUAUUAUUUAAAUAAAAAAAUUUAAAUAAUUUUUAAAAGACGAGAAGACCCUAUAGAAUUUUAAUAAAAAAUAUAUUAUUAUAAUUUAUAAUUUAUUAUAUUAAUUGGGGAAAUUUUAAAAUUUAAAAAAUUUUUAAUUAAAAAAACAUGAAUUUUUGAAUUAUAAUAUUUUUUAAAAAAAUAAAUUAAAUUACCUUAGGGAUAACAGCAUAAUUUUUUUAAAAUGUUCAAAUUUAUAAAAAAGUUUAUGACCUCGAUGUUGAAUUAAGAU